rnacentral:rRNA from 1 species
GAUGAACGCUGGCGGCGUGCUUAACACAUGCAAGUCGAACGGAAAGGCCAGUGCUUGCUCUGGUACUCGAGUGGCGAACGGGUGAGUAACACGUGGGUGAUCUGCCCUGCACUUCGGGAUAAGCUUGGGAAACUGGGCCUAAUACCGUAUAGGACCACUUCGUGGUUGUUGUGGUGGAAAGUUUUUGCGGUGUGGGAUGAGCUCGCGGCCUAUCAGCUUUUUGGUGGGGUAAUGGCCUACCAAGGCGACGACGGGUAGCCGGCCUGAGAGGGUGUACGGCCACAUUGGGACUGAGAUACGGCCCAGACACCUACGGGAGACAGCAGUGGGGAAUAUUGCACAAUGGGCGGAAGCCUGAUGCAGCGACGCCGCGUGGGGGAUGACGGCCUUCGGGUUGUAAACUCCUUUCGCCAAAGACGAAUUUUGACGGUAUUUGGAGAAGAAGCACCGGCUAACUACGUG